GGAAAAUGAACAUGUAAUGUGUCAUCUUUGACACUUGCAAGCAGACCGCAUUUCAAUCACAUUCAAUACACACCCAAGACUAACUGAAGUUACCAUUCUCAGCAUUCCAUUUCCUUAAAAUCUGUCAAAAUGACAUUUGGCACAGGACCAAUGUUUCCACUGUGUUCUAGCAUGCUACCUGGUCCUUAAAUCAUUUUACCUGUUAAGAUGACUAAUGCAUUUAUUCUAGCAAUGUAAGAGAUUUGUGAGCACUACUUUAGUCUUCUGGGGCAACAAGUUAUGACAGAAGAGAAGCUGCAUGUAUUAAAAUAUAGUUGACAAAUGGCCUACCAAAAGGAAGUAAGCAGAAACUUUUCUAAAUUAGGGGUGAACAUAGCCAUUAAGCUCAGUAAUGGUGGAUCAAAUUGAGCAAGUAGCCCACUUUAAAUGAAUUUGACAGAGUCAGACAACCAUGAGACGUUUCACCACAAAAACAGAAUUGAUGGUUACAUGCCACAGUAGCCCAUCUCCAGGGUACAAGCUUUCUCAGGUUUUUGUAAAACAGGAUUUGAUGUUUACAUGUCAACACAAAAUAAAUACUUUAGUAUCCCGAACGGGAUAUUGAUGGUCAGUGGCUUUAACGUAGAGCCAAUCUUGGGAUUUGUCAACCAGCAGCAAAGAAAAUAAAUUAUAUAUUUCAAAUCCAAAAGAAUAGGAACAUUCCCUUUUACUACAAAUUGCACUGGCAACCAACACGGUUCUCAACCAGCUAGCCAAAGGUAGACAUUAAACACACAGUAUUUCAAAACACAAGGAGGCACUUAAAGUACAAUAUUUUAUUGUUUUACAAGUAAUGCAGGGUAGCAUGAGCAGCAGCAUCUCCCUGGCCGACGCAAAAGCAUACAGUGGAAGCUUAAAGAAAGUGUCAGCAACAACUUGGAUUUGUCAUCUAAAGGAUGAAUCUACCAUUGCAAUUCUGUUGAUAGAUGAUUAGUACAAAUGAUUUCUAAAUCAGAACGCAAAGUGCAGGUGAGUGUAAAAGUUGCACAUUACAUCCCAGUAGACUUCCCUUGUGGCAGGGCACCUUUAGCAGGUUGUGAGUUUUUAGCAGGUGGGGAUAUGCUUGGUUCAGAGAUGCCAACGUCCUUGAGAGUAUCUCCGCUAUCAAAAUGGUAUAACCUCCCCAGUGGUGUGGCAGGUUUGGGAGUAGACAGUCUUGCCAUUCUCAUACACAGAUUUGUAAAUAUAUUGGGAUGAGAACUGACUAUUCAACGAUGCUGCCUUGAACGCUGAUGGAGCUGAGACAUUGGGUACUUUCAUUGGCCCCAUCAGACCCAAAAUCCUGAGAAACACCACUGCUGCUAAAAUCCAUGUUGCUUGAGGAGUUGGCCCUCCUGUUCGAGGCCUGUGGCUUCCGCCGAGGCAAGGGCGCCUGUGGCUUCCGCCGAGGCAAGGGCGCCUGUGGCUUCCGCCGAGGCAAGGGCGCCUGUGGCUUCCGCCGAGGCAAGGGCGCCUGUGGCUUCCGCCGAGGCAAGGGCUCCUGUGGCUUCCGCCGAGGCAUUUGAACCAGAUUUGAUGAGGUACCGACUUGAUGAGGUACUGUGGCCGGUUUCUUCACCUAAGGUAUUUGGGACAGUCGUUACGCUUGAUGAAGCAUUAUGGAUGGCCGCUUCCGAGGCAUUAUGGCCAGUUGCUUCCGCUGUCGAGGCACUGUGUCCAGCUUCUUCACGUAAGGCAUUUGGGCCAGUCGUGGCACUUGCUGAGGUAUUAUGGGUUGCUGCUUCUGCUGAGGCACUUGGGUCGGAUAUGUCACCCAAGGUAUUUGGGCCAGUCGUGACGCUUGAUGAAGCAUUGUGGCCAGUUGCUUCACCUAAGGUAUUUGUGCCAGUCUUGACGCUUGCUGAGGCAUUGUGGGUGACUGCUUCUGAGGCACGGGAUCCGGUUGCUCCACCUAAGGUAUUUGGGCCAGUCGUGACGCUUGCAGUGGCAUUACGGGUGGCUGCUUCACCUGCCGAGACAC
ensembl:lncRNA